rnacentral:rRNA from 1 species
GAUGAACGCUGGCGGCGUGCUUAACACAUGCAAGUCGAACGGAAAGGCCCAAGCUUGCUUGGGUACUCGAGUGGCGAACGGGUGAGUAACACGUGGGUGAUCUGCCCUGCACUUCGGGAUAAGCCUGGGAAACUGGGUCUAAUACUGGAUAGGACCACUUCUUGGAUGGUGUGGUGGAAAGGUUUUUCGGUGUGGGAUGAGCUCGCGGCCUAUCAGCUUGUUGGUGGGGUAAUGGCCUACCAAGGCGUCGACGGGUAGCCGGCCUGAGAGGGUGUACGGCCACAUUGGGACUGAGAUACGGCCCAGACUCCUACGGGAGGCAGCAGUGGGGAAUAUUGCACAAUGGGCGCAAGCCUGAUGCAGCGACGCCGCGUGGGGGAUGACGGCCUUCGGGUUGUAAACUCCUUUCGCUAGGGACGAAGCGUUUUUGUGACGGUACCUGGAGAAGAAGCACCGGCUAACUACGUG